rnacentral:rRNA from 1 species
GCGCAGCAGGCGAGAAUUUUUCUCAAUGGGCGAAAGCCUGAAGGAGCGACGCCGCGUGGAGGAUGAAGGCUUUCGGGUUGUAAACUCCUGUCAUUUGAGAACAAGUGUAGCCAAAUAACUACUGGCUACUUGAUAGUAUCAGAAGAGGAAGGGACGGCUAACUCUGUGCCAGCAGCCGCGGUAAUACAGAGGUCCCAAGCGUUGUUCGGAUUCAUUGGGCGUAAAGGGUGCGUAGGUGGCGCCGUCAGUGGGGUGUGAAAUUUCGGAGCUUAAACUCCGAAACUGCAUUCCAUACUGCGGUGCUUGAGGACUGGAGGGGAGACUGGAAUUCAUGGUGUAGCAGUGAAAUGCGUAGAGAUCAUGAGGAAGACCAGUGGCGAAGGCGGGUCUCUGGACAGUUCCUGACACUGAGGCACGAA